GCCCAAAUAGCUCAGUUGGUAGAGCACGUCCUUGGUAAGGACGAGGUCACCGGUUCAAGCCCGGUUUUGGGCU
rnacentral:tRNA from 1 species